rnacentral:lncRNA from 1 species
AUGUUAUCAUUGUUCCUUUCCUAUUUUAAAAAUUACUUUUUUGGUGUGCACCUAGAGUAAUGGGUCUUUUAUGACGUUUUCUUUAUACUUUAGCCCAGUCCAUCUGCUCCUGCCUGAACGUGUUCUUGAGUUAGUUUGCCUAAAUUUGAUUGAUUGGUUGUUGUUGUUCCUGUGUCCAAGGAAGUUGGACUAUAAUUUCCUUUCUUCGUUUCUUCUUCUGGUUUUGGUACCAGGGAAGUGCUGCCUUCAUCGAUGCAUUUGGUGGUGUUCCCACUGUUCCUGCUUUGUGGACCAGCUCCAGUGUUUGCUUCUCUGUGCUUACCUCUUAUGAUGGUUUGUAUGUGCUUGGGUCAGGGAGUGGCACUAUUAGGAGGUGUGGCCUUGUUGAAGUAGGUGUGUCACUGUGGGCGUGGGCUUAAGACCUCAUCCUAGCUGCCUGGAAGCCUGUAUUCUGCUAGCAACCUUCAAAUGAAGAUGGAGAACUCUCAGCUCCUCCUGCACCAUGCCUGCCCAGAUGCUGCCAUGCUCUUGAUGAUAAUGGACUGAACUUCUGAACCGGGUGAGAGGAGAAACUCUAUGGACAAACCCAGUUUUCCACUAUGACAAGUUAUGAAAUCAAACUUUCUGCAUCUAAGCGCAGCGGGUGAGCCUUGAUCUGGGAAACAAGGAAGGAAGAAUUAUCUUUUAGGAUACGAACCCAGCAAGGUCCCUGUGAGUUUGAAGCCAGCCUAGUCUAUAGAGCUAGUUCCAGGACAUUAAAGACUAUAUAAACAAACCCUGUUCAAAACAACAACAACAACAACAACAACAACAACAACCAAAACUGAACCAAAUUAACCAACCAAACACCACCAAAUCCACCCACACACUUCACAUCUGGCAGAAGUAUUCACCCUUUAGAGCACUCUUGUUUGGCAUAGUAUUGCAGCCC